CUUGGUCAUUUAGAGGAAGUAAAAGUCGUAACAAGGUUUCCGUAGGUGAACCUGCGGAAGGAUCAUUAUUGAAAUAAACCUGAUGAGUUGCUGCUGGCUCUCUAGGGAGCAUGUGCACACUUGUCAUCUUUAUAUCUCCACCUGUGCACCUUUUGUAGACCUGGAUAUCUCUCUGAGUGCUUACAACUCGGGUUUGGGGAUUGACUUUAUUGACUUUCCCUACAUUUCCAGGCCUAUGUUUCUUCAUAUACCCCAAUGUAUGUUAUAGAAUGUAAUAAAUGGGUCUUUGUGCCUAUAAACCUAUACAACUUUCAGCAACGGAUCUCUUGGCUCUCGCAUCGAUGAAGAACGCAGCGAAAUGCGAUAAGUAAUGUGAAUUGCAGAAUUCAGUGAAUCAUCGAAUCUUUGAACGCACCUUGCGCUCCUUGGUAUUCCGAGGAGCAUGCCUGUUUGAGUGUCAUUAAUAUAUCAACCUCUUCUGCUUUUGUUUGUAGAGUGUUGGAUGUGGGGGUCUUUGCUGGCUUCUUUCUGAGGUCAGCUCCCCUUAAAUGUAUUAGCGGAACAAUUGUGGACCCGUUCAUUGGUGUGAUAACUAUCUACGCUAUUGACGUGAAACAGUUCAGCUUCUAACAGUCCAUUGACUUGGACAAAAAUUUCAUUAAUGUGACCUCAAAUCAGGUAGGACUACCCGCUGAACUUAAGCAUAUCAAUAAGCGGAGGA
rnacentral:rRNA from 1 species